rnacentral:rRNA from 1 species
UACGUAGGUGGCAAGCGUUGUCCGGAUUUACUGGGCGUAAAGAGCGCGCAGGCGGUCGGUCAAGUCGCGUGUGAAAGCCCCCGGCUCAACUGGGGAGGGUCACGCGAUACUGAUCGACUGGAAGGCAGGAGAGGGUAGUGGAAUUCCCGGUGUAGUGGUGAAAUGCUUAGAUAUCGUCAAGAACACCGAUAGUGAAGACAGCUAACUAAACUCUAACUGACGCUGAGGCACGAAAGUGUGGGGAUCAAACAGG